GAAUCCAAGAAUUUCACCUCUAGCAGUCAAGUAUGAAUACCCAUAUCAGUUCCUAUGCAUUAAUCACCCAAAUGAACACUUAGUCGCAGAUAUUCACUUAUUUGUAUUGAAAUACUAUGCUGAAAAAUACAACAAGUAAUGCUACGAGCACUAUUAUUAAAUCAAAGUAACAGCUAAAACUCAAUAUUGAGUCUUAAAUUAAGGUUAGAACCAACAUAUCCGAAAGGCUUGCAAGCAACAACCUUUUAUUUAGCUACGAGCGUUUUAACUGCAACAAUCUUAAUAUAUGCUUUUGGAGCUGGAAUUACCGCC
rnacentral:misc_RNA from 1 species